UACGAAGGGAGCUAGCGUUGUUCGGAAUCACUGGGCGUAAAGCGCACGUAGGCGGAUGUGUCAGUCAGGGGUGAAAUCCCGGGGCUCAACCUCGGAACUGCCUUUGAUACAGCACGUCUUGAGUCCGAUAGAGGUGGGUGGGAUUCCUAGUGUAGAGGUGAAAUUCGUAGAUAUUAGGAAGAACACCGGUGGCGAAGGCGGCCCACUGGAUCGGUACUGACGCUGAGGUGCGAAAGCGUGGGGAGCAAACAGG
rnacentral:rRNA from 1 species